GAUGAACGCUGGCGGCGUGCCUAAUACAUGCAAGUCGAGCGAACGGACGAGAAGCUUGCUUCUCUGAUGUUAGCGGCGGACGGGUGAGUAACACGUGGAUAACCUACCUAUAAGACUGGGAUAACUUCGGGAAACCGGAGCUAAUACCGGAUAAUAUUUUGAACCGCAUGGUUCAAAAGUGAAAGACGGUCUUGCUGUCACUUAUAGAUGGAUCCGCGCUGCAUUAGCUAGUUGGUAAGGUAACGGCUUACCAAGGCAACGAUGCAUAGCCGACCUGAGAGGGUGAUCGGCCACACGGGAACUGAAACACGGUCCAGACUCCUACGGGAGGCAGCAGUAGGGAAUCUUCCGCAAUGGGCGAAAGCCUGACGGAGCAACGCCGCGUGAGUGAUGAAGGUCUUCGGAUCGUAAAACUCUGUUAUUAGGGAAGAACAUAUGUGUAAGUAACUGUGCACAUCUUGACGGUACCUAAUCAGAAAGCCACGGCUAACUACGUG
rnacentral:rRNA from 1 species